AUAUAUAGAUCUUGAGCCGUACGUAGAGGAGGAGCUCGGGUGGUGUGGAGUUUCGUCGACGUCGCGCCGCGGUGCCGUUCGAGCGUGUGUUCGUCGUCGUAGCAUCGCGAGGGGGGCCGGGCGAGGGUCCGAUUCCGCCGUUUUUGUUGUCGCGCCGGAUUGUGAUUAGCGUUUGAGGUGGGUUACAUCGGCUUUACUCCUAAGUUCGUAUUGGUCGACAUGUAUAGAUUUUGAUUUCGGUAAUUAAUGUUAGCUCAAAUUCAUGGAUUAAUUGUAGAUUGUGAAAUCUGAAUUUUGGAGCAUGUUUUAUAAAUUAGGUAGAUUAUACAUGUUGGACUUGAAAAUUGAAUUAGGAGAAAACCUGCGAUUUUGGCCUGUCACCUGUAUAAACUGCUUGAUUUAGCUCUAGGAGCCGUUAGAAAAUUGUACUGUCGCAGUUUCUUCGAGACGAGUACUCCAGGUAGUUUAGAAUGUAUUUACACUCGUGCUGGUUCGCCGAGUGGAUUUUUACAGGGUCGUUCAGGUUGUUCGGACUGUUGGGUGCCGUCAGAGUUGACGGUGGACCCGUAUCGCCUUGUUGGCGUCAGACUGUGCCGAGGGCACGUUACCUGUUAGUUGUUAGAUCAGUUUGAGUUGAUUACUUGACUUUGGCUAGUUGGAGCCUGAUUGAGCUCGACAGAGAUACGCUGCAUACUCGGUUGGGUAGCGCCCACGAGUGCCACUCCGGAGUCAGGCUUUGUGCUUUCGCGUUGGUGUCGCUCAUGCCAGUUGGACUUGCUCUCCAUGGACCAGUUAGUGUGGAUAGAGCCUGAUAGUCGCAACGGGGCAGGGACGGGUGUAUUCACAGUUCCGGGGACGGGUAUGCUUACAGUCCCGAUUGGAUUGGGUCAGAGUUGACAUUUCCUACAGUUGGUUAGUGUAGAGCAUGAUAGUGUAGUGAUCGAUAGCGGUAGAGUUUAUUUUCUGCUUUUCUGACUACUCUUGCUCCCUUCUGUAGACUUAGUGGGUGGACCGAUGUUGUUUUGGGCGGUAUCCACUGAGGACUACUUGUUUUUAUAGUAGUUCUCACGCCCAGUUGUUACCCCUGUUUUGCAGAGCCACAGGUUUCGGCUGCUGCGCCUUUCGCGGAUCAGGAUCGAGGCAAGGGCGUCGCGAGUUAGAGCCCUACCCGACUGACAGAGCUAGAGGCACCCUACUGCAGGUAGUUGUUUUACUUCGAGCUUAUGUACAUAGUACUUAACUCGCCAGUGCGAGUAACGCUGUAUUUUGGAUUUGGACUAUGUAUAUGAACUCAGUUUGUUUAGCUUCUGUUUUCUCUAGCAGCUCUCUACUACUGUUCGUAGUAGUGUUUGAUUUACAGGUACAGCUGUCGCUUCGUAUACAGGAAAAAUUUCUUUGUAUACGGCGGAUUUGUCGGCGUGCCCGGGGAAGGAGACAUCCGGGGCGUGACACCGGUUAUUAUUACUAGCGUGUACGCCUCAUAUAAACUGAUCGGAAUCAGUAUCCCAUCCGAUGUAGGAUUAUUGGGGCGUUACAAGUUCCUUCAGCUCUACUGCUUAUUCGGUAGAAAGUGAAUGGCAUAAAAACUAAUUUAUACAUAAAUAAUAAAUAACUUAAUAAAUAAUAAAUUAUAAUAUAAUAAAUAAAUAAUAUAAUAUAAUUAUAUUUCUAUAUAAUUAAAAAAAUGUAAUAUGAAAAUUU
rnacentral:lncRNA from 1 species